rnacentral:rRNA from 1 species
AGGACGAACGCUGGCGGCGUGCUUAACACAUGCAAGUCGAGCGGUAAGGCUCCUUCGGGAGUACACGAGCGGCGAACGGGUGAGUAACACGUGAGCAAUCUGCCCUUCUCCUCGGAAUAACCAUUGGAAACGAUGGCUAAUGCCGAAUACGACCUCCUUUCGCAUGAUCGGAGGUGGAAAGCUCCGGCGGAGAAGGAUGAGCUCGCGGCCUAUCAGCUAGUGGCGGGUAACGGCCCACCAAGGCGACGACGGGUAGCCGGCCUGAGAGGGUGACCGGCCACGACGUGGGACUGGAGACCGACGGCCCAGACUCCGUACGGGAGGCGAGCGAGGUGGGGAAUAGUUAGGACAAGUGGGACGAAAGCCUAGA